GCUCCCGUGCCUGGAAGUGUGAGGGGGCUACACUGCGCCCUCGUCUGGCUAGCCUGUUGCAGGGACUUGAAGUAGCUUUUCAACUCACCUGCUCCUAAUGAUUUAGACAUUUCAGCGAGCUUCAGCAGACUUCGGGAGCAUUAUUCUUUGUAGCUCCUGCAGUAAGAGGCCAGCUAGGCCAGACAAGACUGCAGAGAACUCCAGCCACGUGCUAAUACUUGCAUUUAGGAAGGCAUGGUGUGCGGCCAAGCCCCAUGUUUGUCUGCCAGGGGACAUUUCAGAGUACAGUGUGCCUCCAUAUUUUUGGACUCUCCUACCCCUGCAUUCCUGACAUAGCAUCAGUGACUCAGAGAUACAGCAGGACACAAAAUGAGCCCCUUAAAGAUGAUCACUUAACCAUUAAAAAAAUGUAGGCUAUACUGAGACUUCACUAAAAUCUGGAGUGGAUAGCAGCAUGUGUCCCUUUGCCCUGCGGUGAUGUAAGGAGAUGAGAAGUGAACGAGCACAGAGACGUGCAGUCUGAGCAGCCUCUCUUAACCAUAAAUGGGAAAGCAUUGAAGGCAGUGAAGCGACCUAACGGCCGCUGUCGAUGAUGCAGGACUAAAGGUAGUCACUGAGCGAGCGUGAGUGUGUGCGUACAGUCACACACAUACAAACAUGUACCUUGACUGUACACACAGAGCAACUGCAGGUGCACAGCGGCUGGGAGUUAUCUGUGAUUCACUUGACAUUCAAUAUUUUACAUAAUUAAUAAUAAAUAUUUGCAAUAUAUAUGUUAAAUUAGCUAUUUAUAUCACUUUUUAUAUAAAAUAGUACAUUUAAAGAAACAGUGCUGAUUUUAGAAGCUCUAAUUUGGUUCAUGCCAAUGUAGGUACUUUUACACUCAAGCCAUUUUACUUUAAUACACAAAGCAACUCAAUUAUUUAUAAUUUUUCUAACUGAAUACCAAUGCAGCAGUAAUAGCAAAAAUAAUUCCAGUCACACAGCAAGUAGAAAAUAAUCAACAUGUAUCUAUUAAGACUCUCCUUUUGCACAUCUAGGUCAACAUUUUUUUUGGGGGGUUGGGGAUCUUGUUUUUUUUUUUUAACCAUCUGACACGAACACGGACCAUUGGCAGACUCCUGGUUCGCGGCAAGAUAUGACAUCAUGCAGUUUGACAUCACUUCCCUUUGAGGCAAGUCACCGCUGACUCGACUGGAGCGUGAAAACAUAGCCACGCAGGGGUGUGUGUGUGUGUGUGUGUGUGUGUGUGUGUGUGUGUGUGUGUGUGUGUGUGUGUGUGUGUGUGUGUG